rnacentral:snRNA from 1 species
CUCUGGUUUCUCUUCAGAUUGUAUAAAUCUUUUACCUUUUACUAAAGAUUUCCGUGGAAAAGAACAGUUAUGAG